rnacentral:rRNA from 1 species
UUUACACUGCAAGUCGAACGGAAACGAAAAUAGCUUGCUAUUUGGCGUCGAGUGGCGAACGGGUGAGUAACGCGUAGGAAUCUACCCAGUAGAGGGGGAUAGCCCGAAGAAAUUCGGAUUAAUACCGCAUAUUCUCUAAGGAGAAAAGAAGGCCUCUUUACAAUGCUUUUACUAUUGGAUGAGCCUGCGUUAGAUUAGUUAGUUGGUAGGGUAAAAGCCUACCAAGGCGACGAUCUAUAGCUGGUUUUACGAGAAUGAUCAGCCACACUGGAACUGAGACACGGUCCAGACUCCUACGGGAGGCAGCAGUGAAGAAUAUUGGACAAUGGGGGAAACCCUGAUCCAGCAAUGUUGCGUGUGUGAAGAAGGUCCGAGGAUUGUAAAGCACUUUCAGUAAGCAAGAAAAGUGUAAAUCUAAUAGAUUUGCAUAUUGACCACUUAUAGAAGAAGCACCGGCUAACUCCGUGCCAGCAGCCGCGGUAAUACGGAGGGUGCGAGCGUUAAUCGGAAUUACUGGGCGUAAAGGGUAAGUAGGCGGUUUAUAAAGUCACAUGUGAAAGCCCUAGGCUUAACCU